rnacentral:rRNA from 1 species
AGAGACAGCAGUCGCCGCGGUAAUACGAAGGGUGCAAGCGCUAAUCGGAAUUACUGGGCGUAAAGCGUGCGUAGGCGGUGAGUUAAGUCUGCUGUGAAAUCCCCGGGCUCAACCUGGGAAUGGCAGUGGAUACUGGCUCGCUAGAGUGUGUCAGAGGAUGGUGGAAUUCCCGGUGUAGCGGUGAAAUGCGUAGAGAUCGGGAGGAACAUCAGUGGCGAAGGCGGCCAUCUGGGACAACACUGACGCUGAGGCACGAAAGCGUGGGGAGCAAACAGGAUUAGAUACCCGCGUAGUCCCUGUCUCUUAUAC